GCCUGUGUGGUGCAUUGGGUCCGUGCAUCUGGCUGUUAACCAGAAGGUUGGUGGUUCAAGCCCACCCAGGGACG
rnacentral:tRNA from 1 species